rnacentral:rRNA from 1 species
GGGUGCAAGCGUUACUCGGAAUUACUGGGCGUAAAGCGUGCGUAGGUGGUGAGUUAAGUCUGUCGUGAAAUCCCCGGGCUCAACCUGGGAAUGGCGAUGGAUACUGGCGAGCUAGAGUGUGUCAGAGGAUGGUGGAAUUCCCGGUGUAGCGGUGAAAUGCGUAGAGAUCGGGAGGAACAUCAGUGGCGAAGGCGGCCAUCUGGGACAACACUGACGCUGAAGCACGAAAGCGUGGGGAGCAAACAGG